AGAGUUGAUCCUGGCUCAGGAUGAACGCUAGCGACAGGCUAACACAUGCAAGUCGAGGGGCAUCACGGGAGUAGCAAUACAACUGGUGGCGACCGGCGCACGGGUGAGUAACGCGUAUGCAACCUACCUAUCAGAGGGGAAUAACCCGGCGAAAGUCGGACUAAUACCGCAUAAAACAGGGGCACCGCAUGGUGAUAUUUGUUAAAGAAAUUCGCUGAUAGAUGGGCAUGCGUUCCAUUAGGUAGUUGGUGAGGUAACGGCUCACCAAGCCGACGAUGGAUAGGGGAACUGAGAGGUUGGUCCCCCACACUGGUACUGAGACACGGACCAGACUCCUACGGGAGGCAGCAGUGAGGAAUAUUGGUCAAUGGGCGGGAGCCUGAACCAGCCAAGUCGCGUGAAGGAAGAAGGAUCUAUGGUUCGUAAACUUCUUUGCAGGGGAAUAAAGUGCAGGACGUGUCCUGUUUUGUAUGUACCCUGAGAAUAAGGAUCGGCUAACUCCGUGCCAGCCGCCGC
rnacentral:rRNA from 1 species